rnacentral:lncRNA from 1 species
AUUGUAUUGAAAGUUCAGCACUGCCUGAUACAGAUUCUCCUCUUAACUCGAAUUGCUCUUCUCCGCCAGCAUCUCAAGGUUUGAGCUGGGCCUGUCAUGUUUUGCAAGAGGACAUGCUCCCGGUCUGUCCAGCACAGUGUUAUUGUGGAGGGUAGAUGCUGUCUACCAGCUUCUACUUCGAGAAUUACAACAUUUACCAACUCCCUGUUGCCUUGCAUGGAGCAGCAAACAGCCUUUGAGAUCCCAGAAUCGCAGAUGAAAAUGACAGCAAAGGACCUUUUGGAUCACCCAUCCUCAAAAGAUGCUGAGAAGCCUCUUC